GAGGAGAACCAGAGAGAAAAAGUCUCUAUUUUUCAAGCAUAAACCAUGCAGAGAGGGCACAGAUGCCUCGCCAGGCUACUAAAGAGGCCCCUGGCGAAUUUGGAG